rnacentral:rRNA from 1 species
CAAUAGCGUAUAUUAAAGUUGUUGCAGUUAAAAAGCUCGUAGUUGGAUUUGUGGCGUACGGUGUGUUCCGGGCACUUGUUGUCUGAGUAACCUGCUGUUGCCAUCCUUGGGUGGAACCUGUGUGGCAUUAGGUUGUCGUGCAGGGGAUGCCCAUCAUUUACUGUGAAAAAAUUAGAGUGUUCAAAGCAGGCUUAUGCCGUUGAAUAUAUUAGCAUGGAAUAAUGAGAUAGGACUUUUUUGCUAUUUUGUUGGUUUGCGCAAGAAGGUAGUGAUUAAUAGGGACAGUUGGGGGUAUUCGUACUCCAUUGUCAGAGGUGAAAUUCUUGGAUUUUUGGAAGACGAACUACUGCGAAAGCAUUUACCAAGGAUGUUUUCAUUAA